CACAAUUCCAGACAAAUGUUGCUGCAGGUUUAUCAUUUAAAUAUAUUUCUAACACAGGGUAUUAUGGGAAUGACAGCAUUUGACAGUGUGUUCAUUUACAAAAUUCACAAAAAUGGAUAUAUAAUUGACAUCCAGCACUGCAUCAUUUACCUAUGAAAAUAUGUCUGAAAAAAUAUACCCUUGUUCUAUGAGAUACAGAUGCCUAGUUAUCUCCAGGUCACUAUAUUAACUGUAUGAUCAUGUGAUCAUUACAUAUUUGUUCUACAUUCCCCAAAGAUUCCAUCACAUUCCACCACAAGAGUAUUUGACAAUUUUUAUGUAUAUAUUUGAUAUCCACCUACUGUGGAUUUGAU